UUUGUCUAUAAUGGCAAAUGUGAGAUGCAGUGUAUGGAGCGUCAAAAUAUUCUAGUAUGAGAAAUUAACGAUUUAAGUCCUUCUUAAAUGAGGCCAUUUACCCAUAGAGGGUGCCAGGCCCGUAUAACGUUAAUGAUUACUAGAUGAUGUUUCCAAAGAGUCGUGUUGCUUGAUAGUGCAGCACUAAGUGGGUGGUAAACUCCAUCAUAAAAACUAAAUAUAACCAUGAGACCGAUAGUAAACAAGUACCCGUGAGGGAAAAGUUGAAAAGAACUCUGAAUAGAGAGUUAAACAGUACGUGAAACUGCUUAGAGGUUAAGCCCGAUGAACCUGAAUAUCCGUUAUGGAAAAUUCAUAUUAAAAUUGUAAUAUUUAAAUAAUAUUAUGAGAAUAGUGUGCAUUUUUUCCAUAUAAGGACAUUGUAAUCUAUUAGCAUAUACAAAUUUAUCAUAAAUAUAACUUAUAGUUUAUUCCAAUUAAAUUGUUGCAUUUUAACACAGAAUAAAUGUUAUUAAUUUGAUAAAGUGCUGAUAGAUUUAUAUGAUUACAGUGCGUUAAUUUUUCGGAAUUAUAUAAUGGCAUAAUUAUCAUUGAUUUUUGUGUUUAUUAUAUGCACUUGUAUGAUUAACAAUGCGAAAGAUUCAGGAUACCUUCGGGACCGUCUUGAAACACGGACCAAGGAGUCUAACAUAUGUGCAAGUUAUUGGGAUAUAAACCUAAUAGCGUAAUUAACUUGACUAAUAAUGGGAUUAGUUUUUAGCUAUUUAUAGCUAAUUAACACAAUCCCGGGGCGUUCUAUAUAGUUAUGUAUAAUGUAUAUUUAUAUUAUUUAUGCCUCUAACUGGAACGUACCUUGAGCAUAUAUGCUGUGACCCGAAAGAUGGUGAACUAUACUUGAUCAGGUUGAAGUCAGGGGAAACCCUGAUGGAAGACCGAAACAGUUCUGACGUGCAAAUCGAUUGUCAGAAUUGAGUAUAGGGGCGAAAGACCAAUCGAACCAUCUAGUAGCUGGUUUCCUUCCGAAGUUUCCCUCAGGAUAGCUGGUGCAUUUUAAUAUUAUAUAAAAUAAUCUUAUCUGGUAAGCGAAUGAUUAGAGGCCUUAGGGUCGAAACGAUCUUAACCUAUUCUCAACUUUAAAUGGGUAAGAACUUAACUUUCUUGAUAUGAAGUUCAGGUUAUGAUAUAAUGUGCCCAGUGGGCCACUUUUGGUAAGCAGAACUGGCGCUGUGGGAUGAACCAAACGUAAUGUUACGGUGGCCCAAAUUAACAACUCAUGCAGAUACCAUGAAAGGCGUUGGUUGCUUAAAACAGCAGGACGGUGAUCAUGGAAGUCGAAAUCCGCUAAGGAGUGUGUAACAACUCACCUGCCGAAGCAACUAGCCCUUAAAAUGGAUGGGCGCUUAAGUUGUAUACCUAUACAUUACCGCUAAGUAGAUGAUUUAUAUUACUUGUGAUAUAAAUUUUGAAACUUUAGUGAGUAGGAAGGUACAAUGGUAUGCGUAGAAGUGUUUUGGCGUAAGCCUGCAUGGAGCUGCCAUUGGUACAGAUCUUGGUGGUAGUAGCAAAUAAUCGAAUGAGACCUUGGAGGACUGAAGUGGAGAAGGGUUUCGUGUGAACAGUGGUUGAUCACGAGUUAGUCGGUCCUAAGUUCAAGGCGAAAGCCGAAAAUUUUCAAGUAAAACAAAAAUGCCUAACUAUAUAAACAAAGCGAAUUAUAAUACACUUGAAUAAUUUUGAACGAAAGGGAAUACGGUUCCAAUUCCGUAACCUGUUGAGUAUCCGUUUGUUAUUAAAUAUGGGCCUCGUGCUCAUCCUGGCAACAGGAACGACCAUAAAGAAGCCGUCGAGAGAUAUCGAAGAGUUUUUCUUUUCUGUUUUAUAGCCGUACUACCAUGGAAGUCUUUCGCAGAGAGAUAUGGUAGAUGGGCUAGAAGAGCAUGACAUAUACUGUUGUGUCGAUAUUUUCUCCUCGGACCUUGAAAAUUUAUGGUGGGGACACGCAAACUUCUCAACAGGCCGUACCAAUAUCCGCAGCUGGUCUCCAAGGUGAAGAGUCUCUAGUCGAUAGAAUAAUGUAGGUAAGGGAAGUCGGCAAAUUAGAUCCGUAACUUCGGGAUAAGGAUUGGCUCUGAAGAUUGAGAUAGUCGGGCUUGAUUGGGAAACAAUAACAUGGUUUAUGUGCUCGUUCUGGGUAAAUAGAGUUUCUAGCAUUUAUGUUAGUUACUUGUUCCCCGGAUAGUUUAGUUACGUAGCCAAUUGUGGAACUUUCUUGCUAAAAUUUUUAAGAAUACUAUUUGGGUUAAACCAAUUAGUUCUUAUUAAUUAUAACGAUUAUCAAUUAACAAUCAAUUCAGAACUGGCACGGACUUGGGGAAUCCGACUGUCUAAUUAAACAAAGCAUUGUGAUGGCCCUAGCGGGUGUUGACACAAUGUGAUUUCUGCCCAGUGCUCUGAAUGUCAAAGUGAAGAAAUUCAAGUAAGCGCGGGUCAACGGCGGGAGUAACUAUGACUCUCUUAAGGUAGCCAAAUGCCUCGUCAUCUAAUUAGUGACGCGCAUGAAUGGAUUAACGAGAUUCCUACUGUCCCUAUCUACUAUCUAGCGAAACCACAGCCAAGGGAACGGGCUUGGAAUAAUUAGCGGGGAAAGAAGACCCUUUUGAGCUUGACUCUAAUCUGGCAGUGUAAGGAGACAUAAGAGGUGUAGAAUAAGUGGGAGAUAUUAGACCUCGGUUUGGUAUCGUCAAUGAAAUACCACUACUCUUAUUGUUUCCUUACUUACUUGAUUAAAUGGAACGUGUAUCAUUUCCUAGCCAUUAUACGGAUAUAUUUAUUAUAUCUUAUGGUAUUGGGUUUUGAUGCAAGCUUCUUGAUCAAAGUAUCACGAGUUUGUUAUAUAAUCGCAAACAAAUUCUUUAAUAAAACGAUGCAUUUAUGUAUUUUUUGAUUUGAAAAUUUGGUAUAACUCCAAUUACUCAGGUAUGAUCCAAUUCAAGGACAUUGCCAGGUAGGGAGUUUGACUGGGGCGGUACAUCUCUCAAAUAAUAACGGAGGUGUCCCAAGGCCAGCUCAGUGCGGACAGAAACCACACAUAGAGCAAAAGGGCAAAUGCUGACUUGAUCUCGGUGUUCAGUACACACAGGGACAGCAAAAGCUCGGCCUAUCGAUCCUUUUGGUUUAAAGAGUUUUUAACAAAGAGGUGUCAGAAAAGUUACCAUAGGGAUAACUGGCUUGUGGCGGCCAAGCGUUCAUAGCGACGUCGCUUUUUGAUCCUUCGAUGUCGGCUCUUCCUAUCAUUGUGAAGCAAAAUUCACCAAGCGUUGGAUUGUUCACCCAUGCAAGGGAACGUGAGCUGGGUUUAGACCGUCGUGAGACAGGUUAGUUUUACCCUACUAAUGACAAAACGUUGUUGCGACAGCAUUCCUGCGUAGUACGAGAGGAACCGCAGGUACGGACCAAUGGCACAAUACUUGUUCGAGCGAACAGUGGUAUGACGCUACGUCCGUUGGAUUAUGCCUGAACGCCUCUAAGGUCGUAUCCGUGCUGGACUGCAAUGAUAAAUAAGGGGCAAUUUGCAUUGUAUGGCUUCUAAACCAUUUAAAGUUUAUAAUUUACUUUAUAAACGACAAUGGAUGUGAUGCCAAUGUAAUUUGUAACAUAGUAAAUUGGGAGGAUCUUCGAUCACCUGAUGCCGCGCUAGUUACAUAUAAAAGCAUUAUUU
rnacentral:rRNA from 1 species